AACUAAUGCCCGUUUUCACCAACAACCUCUUACCGUUUCCCUAUCUAAAAGCUACUUUUAAUAAGGACCCCUCCCAAUUUGACACCUACCUAAAUUCAUUUUCACCACACUUGUACAUGGAUCCCUUAAGUAAGUGACAGAUUACUAGUUCUACAAACGAUAAUGCAAAGUCGAUAUUCUAUCGAUAAAAUGAUUUUUCUCUAUUUCAUAAGAAAUAAACAUCUAUCGAGUAUAUAUUACUAAAGCCUGUGAGUUUUUUUUUCUUGUGAUGUUAUUUUAAUUUAACUUAAACUACAUUACGCUAUGUUUUAUGCAAUAAAACAGUAAAGAGGUUUUCUAUAGGUGAAUUUUUACCUAUGUCAUUCGCGCGUUUGUCAAAUUGACUGAUGUGUAUGUGUACAUAGAGUGAGGUUAAUUUUGGGUUUAUUAUUGUUGGAUAGAUAAGUUUAUUUUGGCAGAGAAGAGAAAACGAGGAUAAACCUUUCUUGCAGAAGAAUAAGACAAGCUAGUGAAAUUGCUGACGUCUCAUAGAGACACAAUAUUAAACAAAAAACGGAUGGGACCACGAACGAAGCCAAAAACAAAGCUUGGAUCCAGUUACAAAUAGUUUUAAUGCGAUAGGAACCGUUUACAGUUUCAGGUGGUGCGAGAAAUUGGAAAGACGUGUAAAAACAUGCUGCGCCCAGCCCACCUCAAAUUGAAUUGGUGCAGGAGGAUGAUGAUAAUGUUUGGUACAUCAUAUGAGGACUAAUAUUAAAAUAUUUGUUUACUA
rnacentral:lncRNA from 1 species